rnacentral:rRNA from 1 species
AAAAUAAUUUUAAGUCUAAUCUGCUCAAUGAAUAAUUUUAAAUAGCUGCAGUAUAAAUAACUGUACAAAGGUAGCAUAAUAAUUUGUUUUUUAAUUAAAAACUAGAAUGAAUGAUUAAAUGAAAUAUAGACUAUAUCAAACUUAAAAAAUAAAUUUAUUAUUUAAAUAAAAAAAUUUAAAUAACUUUUAAAGACGAGAAGACCCUAAAGAAUUUAAAUAAUAAUUUAAAAUAAUAAUUUAUAAAUUAUUAUAUUAAUUGGGGAAAUUUUAAAAUUUAAAAAAUUUUUAAUUAAAUAAACAUAUAUUUUUGAAUAUAUAAAAUUUUUUAAAAAAUUAAAUUAAAUUACCUUAGGGAUAACAGCAUAAUUUUUUUAAAAAGUUCAAAUUUAUAAAAAAGUUUAUGACCUCGAUGUUGAAUUAAGAUUAAAUUUAAUAGAAAAAUAUUAAAAAUUUAAGUCUGUUCGACUUUUAAAAUCUUACAUG